rnacentral:lncRNA from 1 species
AUUCUCACUGGGAUGCCACAGCUCUGGAGACUUCUUAUAGAUGUUGUUUGGAACACUCCAGGCUUGGAGAUGGGCCUUUAGACACUGCCUGUAGUACUGCUUAGCAACAGCUCUACAGACAUAAAGAGAUUGCAGUGGCUGCUCCUUCCUGGCUCCACCAUUCAGCAAGAGCUCCACAGAGGAUGAAGAGAUCCUCCUAGCUUGGCGGAAUACUCUGCUCUGAUGGAAGUACCAUCCUGGUCCAAACAUGAAAGAAUUCCCAACAUCAAGAUUGAUUGAAACAUAUUCAAUGGAUCAUUUGCUCCAGAAGAAGCUGGUUGCCAUGUCUUGAGGACAGUAAACCCUCUGGGGAGGUUCCUGUGGUAAGGAACAAGGGCUCCUGGCAAUAGCCUCUGAGUGAGCCACCUUGAAAAUGGAUUGUCCAGCCCCAGUCAAGCUUUCAGAUGACUGUAGCUCCUGCCAAUGUCUUCACCACAACCUCAUGAGAUCCCAAGCUACAACCACUCAGAACUUCAUCUUUUGGGAAGCACCAGGGAGAGCUGCCUGUGCCUGGCAGAAGCUGCCCAUGCCCCACUGAUACCCCACAGUACUUCCUGUUCUGCUUAGUACUCCUGCUUCUUUCUACAAACAACUGUGAUUCUCUACCUGGGAGCUUCCUCUGGCCACAGGAGCCUGCUCACCUGAUUGGGACACCCUAGCAGUACUGUGCUUCCUGGAAUCAUCUCCCUCAUCAAUCAUUUGUUCCUAAAUUCUGUCUGAGUCUGUUUCUGAGGAAACCCAACCUGAGUCAUCGUCCCUCUUCUCCCCUCCUCACAUUCUCUUCACUGGGGGAGGAUGGAUUGAGUUGACUGGCAAAUUCGGGAGAAGGAGUUUGCAUCGGAGUGCGUGACUCAGCUGAGGCUGGGCUCUGUUUCUUCAGAAUGAAGUGCAUUCAGAUUCGAUGUGUAUCCUGUCUCUGGGAAGCCCCAUGCUCUGCUCAUCUUAGCAUGAUUACUAAGGUACACUCUGCCCUUGCAAGGGGAAGGCCCGAGAUUUGCUGCUGGCAGGCUCAGUGGGAGUUGGAUGUUUUAUGUAACCUGAUUGUGGAUAUAGAUCAAUUCAUGCUUUUCAAUUCAGUCCUCUCUCUAAUAAACUGCUGUCAUAAGC